UAGGUGUGUGUUCCAGGUAAAUCCGGUUCACUUUAACACUGAGGCGUGAUGACGAGGCACUACGGUGCUGAAGCAACAAAUGCCCUGCUUCCAGGAAAAGCCUCUAAGCAUCAGGUAACAUCAAAUCGUACCCCAAACCGACACAGGUGGUCAGGUAGAGAAUACCAAGGCGCUUGAGAGAACUCGGGUGAAGGAACUAGGCAAAAUGGUGCCGUAACUUCGGGAGAAGGCACGCUGACACGUAGGUGAAGUGAUUUACUCACGGAGCUGAAGUCAGUCGAAGAUACCAGCUGGCUGCAACUGUUUAUUAAA
rnacentral:rRNA from 1 species